rnacentral:rRNA from 1 species
CCUACGGGAGGCAGCAGUGGGGAAUAUUGCACAAUGGGGGAAACCCUGAUGCAGCGAAGCCGCGUGAGUGAGGAAGGAUUUCGGUAUGUAAAGCUCUAUCAGCAGGGAAGAAAAUGACGGUACGUGACUAAGAAGCUCCGUCUAACUACGUGCCGGCAGCCGCGGUAAUAAGUAAGGGGCAAGCGUUAUACGGAUUUACUGGGUGUAAAGGGAGCGUAGACGGCUAAUCAUGUCAGAAGUGAAAACCCAGGGCUCAAGCUUGGGAGUGCUGUUGAAACUGGGUAGCUAGAGUGCAGGAGAGGUACGCGGAAUGCGUGGUGUAGCGGUGAAAUGCGUAGAUAUUAGGAGGAACCCCGGUGGCGAAGGCGGCUUACUGGACUGUAACUGACGUUGAGGCUCGAAAGCGUGGGGAGCAAACAGGAUUAGAUACCCGGGUAGUC